rnacentral:misc_RNA from 1 species
AAAGCCCUGUUACGACCAGAUGGAUAUGAAAGAGGUCGUCUUCGACAUGCUGCUCUCGUUCAAGAAUGUGGUGACAAAUGUGAAUUAAUUGAUUAUCUUCCAUUAUUCUGGAACAAUUCUACACAUCUUUAUCAGUAUUUUGACUCACGUGGAUUCUCUUAUUUCACAUCUCCAAAUCACUUGUCUGCUCAUGGAAUUGAACUCGUCAGGCACAUUUAUACAAAAAUAUGUGCUAAUUUGAAAUAAUU